rnacentral:rRNA from 1 species
UAGGGAAUCUUCGGCAAUGGACGAAAGUCUGACCGAGCAACGCCGCGUGAGUGAAGAAGGUUUUCGGAUCGUAAAACUCUGUUGUUAGAGAAGAACAAGGACGUUAGUAACUGAACGUCCCCUGACGGUAUCUAACCAGAAAGCCACGGCUAACUACGUGCCAGCAGCCGCGGUAAUACGUAGGUGGCAAGCGUUGUCCGGAUUUAUUGGGCGUAAAGCGAGCGCAGGCGGUUUCUUAAGUCUGAUGUGAAAGCCCCCGGCUCAACCGGGGAGGGUCAUUGGAAACUGGGAGACUUGAGUGCAGAAGAGGAGAGUGGAAUUCCAUGUGUAGCGGUGAAAUGCGUAGAUAUAUGGUGGAACACCAGUGGCGAAGGCGGCUCUCUGGUCUGUAACUGACGCUGAGGCUCGAAAGCGUGGGGAUCAAACAGG